CGCUUAUUAAUUAAAUAGUAAGUAGAUUCUGCCCAAUGAUACUUAAAUGGCCGCAGUAUCCUGACUGUGCUAAGGUAGCAUAAUAAUUUGUCCUUUAAUUGGGGACUAGUAUGAAUGAACUGACGAAGAGAAAAUUGUCUCUGUAAAUAAACAAUAAUUUUAUAUCUAUGUAAAAAAGCCUAGUUAAUGUAGGGGGACGAUAAGACCCUAAAAGCUUUACCCUUAAAGCUUUCAAAAGUAUUUUAUUAUAUAAAGCCUAUUGGGUUUUUACUGGGGCGGUAAUUCUUUUAACAAGAAUCAACUAAACACGUUGAGUGAAACCAUUUAACUUAAAUACAAAAUUAAACUAAGUUACUUUAGGGAUAACAGCGUAAUUCUCUGAUAGAGUUCUUAUCGACCAGAGAGUUUGCGACCUCGAUGUUGAAUUGAGAUCCUACUUAGAGCAGCAUCUAAAUAAAGGAAGACUGUUCGUCUUUUAAACUCUCACA
rnacentral:rRNA from 1 species